CCUACGGGUGGCAGCAGUGGGGAAUAUUGCACAAUGGGGGAAACCCUGAUGCAGCAACGCCGCGUGAAGGAAGACGGUUCUCGGAUUGUUAACUUCUGUCCUUAGUGAAGAAUAAUGACGGUAACUAAGGAGCAAGCAACGGCUAACUCCGUGCUAGCAGCCGCGGUACUACGUAGGGGGCAAGCGUUGUCCGGAGUUACUGGGUGUAAAGGGAGAGCAGGCGGGAAGACAAGUCAGCUGUGAAAACUACAGGCUUAACUUGUAGAUUGCAGUUGAAACUGGUUUUCUUGAGUAAAGUAGAGGUUGGCGGAAUUCGUGGUGUAGCGGUGAAAUGCGUAGAUAUUCGGAGGAACACCGAUGGCGAAGGCAGCCAACUAAGCUUUAACUGACGCUGAGGCUUGAAAGUGUGGGGAGCAAACAGGAUUAGAUACCCGAGUAGUC
rnacentral:rRNA from 1 species